UUUUCUUGGCCCAUCCACUUC
rnacentral:miRNA from 1 species